AAACUGUUAGAGAGUGGACGUAUAAGCUCUCUCUCUACAACUAUUUCAUAUAUUUGUUUUGUUCUUUUUGAAGUAUUAUGAAGUUUCAUAUGGACAAGUUCUAUCUGAUAUACAUUUUUAAUAAGUUCUACUAUUAAUUUUAAUGUGACUAUCGUAAAUAAAUUAUUAGAUUUAUCUUAAAAGUUUAUCGGUGGCGCAAAGUUUCGUACCUAGAAGACGUAAUAUAAUUUUGGUGGCAAAAUUGUAUUGAGUGCAGUUUUAUACCCGCUGGAUUUAUUUAUAGCUCCAACAAUGAAGAACAUGAGAUGAAGAUCCUUCCGAAAUCAAGAUGAACCGCAACUCAAAUGGCGUCGAAGCAAACGGCGAGCUACGCAUACUGUUAGUGGUGACAGUAGUGAUUGGCUUACUGCUGAUGCUCUCCUUGCUGAUGUGCUACGCGUGCGUGCUGAAGCGGCUGUGCUGCGGGACUGCGAGGGAGCGGGCGAAGAAAGCUUACGGACAAAGAACGGAGAGUUACCCUAUGGGUGACGUCACAUUAAUAUCCCAGCCGACGGAGAGUGAACGUGUUUAAUUAUGCGGAUUAUUUGGCGUGCCUACUAUUAAUCAUCAUCAGCCGAUGGAUAUCAACUGCUGGACUUAUACUUCCUAACGACAUUUUUUUUCUGAUCGUGUAAGUGCCGUUGGCUCCUUAAUGGGACCUCAGCGGCGUCAUCGGGGGGUUUGGGCGAGAGUAGAUGGGCAGAACGACUAUCUAAGAGCGUCAUCUGAGACUUGGUCCUCGACUUAGAGGGCCGUUCGGGAAGGGUAUUUUGACUUGAGUGUAUCAGUCCGGACGCCCCCGAUAUUGUGAGUUUAAAGCCCACGUCUGGGUGACGUCAGAUAUCGAGGACCUCGUCUUCGCCGGCGAAGACGCUGUGUAGCUUAUGUUUGUGUUGCCUGGGAAGCAAUGUCGUUCGUUUUGUCAUCGUCAGUAUCGUAAAGAACGUUUUUUGGGCACCAAGAUCUACAAUCAACGUUGGAAUCGGAGGAUACCGACGACAUAACAACACGAUUUUGAUUUUUAAACCACCUGCAGACAUGUUCCCUGCAAUCCGCAUGGUAUCGGCGAGCACCUGCGAGUUCGCCAUUCCAGCAGCUUAUUAGGACCCCAACGUCCAUCGGCAAAAUGUAGUGGCCUAAACAAUUGAUGUAAUUGAUGAUUUAGAAUUCCUGUCCCGUAAGCUAUAUACCUACGGUUUACUGCGUCUAGGUAGGUAGAUAUCUAUAUUAUAUAGACCGUCCCACUACUCACUAUAGCGAAUAUUUGUAGCGAGUUAGUAGAUAUACUUGGGCAUUGUGUAUUCAAAUGUGUAUAUGUUAUUGUAAAUGUAAUUAAAUAAGUACCUAUAUUAUUAAUGUAAAAAAGUUUUAACCUGACUGUUUUUGUUAUGAUUCUGAUCCAUA